rnacentral:rRNA from 1 species
CCUACGGGAGGCAGCAGUGGGGAAUAUUGCACAAUGGGGGAAACCCUGAUGCAGCGACGCCGCGUGAGUGAAGAAGUCUCUCGGUAUGUAAAGCUCUAUCAGCAGGGAAGAUAAUGACGGUACCUGACUAAGAAGCCCCGGCUAGAUACGUGCCAGCAGCCGCGGUUAUACGUAGGGGGCCGGCGUUAUCCGGAUUUACUGGGGGUAAAGGGUGCGUAGGUGGCAGGGCAAGUCCGAUGUGAAAGGCCGGGGCCCAACCCCGGUAUUGCAGUUGAAACUGUCCAGCUUGAGUGCAGGAGAGGUAAGCGGAAUUCGUGGUGUAGCGGUGAAAUGCGUAGAUAUUAGGAGGAACCCCGGUGGCGAAGGCAGCUUACUGGACUGUAACUGACACUGAGGCACGAAAGCGUGGGGAGCAAACAGGAUUAGAUACCCGAGUAGUC